rnacentral:lncRNA from 13 species
UGGAGAGCUCCCCAACCUCUGGUCAGAUUGCUAUCUUGCAGCUGAAACACAGGGUUAGCUGAAUUUUCUUCCAAACUUCAUUGCAAACAAUUACCUUGGCAUAUUAUCUGUAACAUUUCCUUUGGAGAAUUCGUCCGUGUUAGAAAACAAAACGUUUGCCAUAUCCUGUGAAUGACAGAAUUAAGAAGUAAAACCUCAAAUCCAUCAAGAUGCAUGAAGAUUUGAGUGACUUGUGGGCAUGAACUACAUUGACAAAGACCUCAUGAGGAUGUCACGGCAAAAGACAAGACCGUAGAUCACGUCGAUCGAGAAGCCUUUGUAACUUGUGAAAUCCGAAAGCCGCCUUGUCGAGUCACCUGUGCGAUCCCUUGCCCUAAGGUAUGAUCAUACUUGAAUCUUCAGUGUUCAGACUUUGAACACACACACACAGAAAAUACACAUUUGUAUGCAAUAUUGCAACCUCCCCCAUAACUCACUGCAAUUAGGAGUUGAAUUCCCCAGUUUGCUGGACUGAACUUAGAGACCCAGCACAAGGAGCUCUUGAGAAGGAAAAAAGGAAUUCCACACUGGUGAGGUUAGGGCUGCAGCCUUCAAAGCGAGAUGACUUCUUGGAGACUGCCUGCUUUAGAAACGGCUGGGUCCUGACGCUCUGAGAGGGGGAGCUGGGUGAACCGGCAUGGAGAAAACCACUCAGAAGCUCAGAAGGCUGCAGCGGGGGCUCGCGCAGGGCUGGGAUUUGUGUGGUGCGUCUUUGGAAAAGCAGAGACCUGAAGAGGAAGAAAGAACAUAUUGGAAAGCCUACAAUAUUCUACGUGAUAUGCUUCUCAUUUUCACAUAGAAAUGAGAAAACUCUUUCAGUUCCCCACAACAGCAUGAGACAAUCACAUCUUAAUUGUCUUGGUGAGGAGAUUUAUGCCCAGAGAAGGGCCUUGUCUAAGAUCACACGCCCAGUAAGUGGCAGAGAGGCAGGAUUUGCACCCAGAUCUGUCCGAACAAGUCACAUUUCUUUCCACAACAUCAUACUGCCUACAUACAAUUGUUAGCAAAGAAGAGCAAUUGUCCCCAAUUUAUAGCUUGAAAACAUGGAGUCUGCAAGUCUCCGAGAAGAAUAAAGUCCUCUAGCUUCUAAUCA